CAGAUUUGGUGACUGUCUCCCGCAUAGAGUCCAGUUACCGCCCGGCUUCGAAGAUUUGGUAGAUCAACGAACCCGAACCAACCCGCCUUCCGGCGGGUUUUUUCGU
rnacentral:antisense_RNA from 1 species